CAGUCGCCACGGUAAUACGGAGGGCGCGAGCGUUACCCGGAUUUACUGGGCGUAAAGGGCGUGUAGGCGGCCUGGGGCGUCCCAUGUGAAAGGCCACGGCUCAACCGUGGAGGAGCGUGGGAUACGCUCAGGCUAGAGGGUGGGAGAGGGUGGUGGAAUUCCCGGAGUAGCGGUGAAAUGCGCAGAUACCGGGAGGAACGCCGAUGGCGAAGGCAGCCACCUGGUCCACUUCUGACGCUGAGGCGCGAAAGCGUGGGGAGCAAACCGGAUUAGAUACCCCUGUAGUCCCUGUCUCUUAUAC
rnacentral:rRNA from 1 species